UUCAUCACAAAAAGAAAAGUGGACGUUGAAUAUAAGGCAUGAUGAGGACAUGUGCAUGCCUGCGUUAUUGAAUUAGAUAGCAAAACAUGGUUUAUGAUACAAUAAUAAAAUAGAUGUUAAAAGAAAACCAUAUAUGUUGGUGUUACCAGAUUAAGGACUCAUUAUUUCUACCAAAAAGAAAACAAGUCACGAAAAGUAGAAAACUUAAAAUAGAAUACAGCAUCAUAGGAAAAUUCCUUCAUUAAACUAUAAAAGAUUAUCAGGAUGAUCAUAAUCAAGUAACAAGAUGGUGGAAUAGAAGGAUGCAAAGCUCACUUCUUUCCACAAAUACAUCAAAAACACAUUACAUGUGGGAUGCUUCUCACAGAACACUUAACUAGGAGAAGACCACAGAAACCCAAGCAAGAAAGAUUGCCACAUAACCAAGUGGAACAAGGGAAAAAAACAAAAAAGAAGUGGGAUAGGACCUGCACUCCUGGAAAGGAACUGUGAAAAGGGAAAUGGUCCCACACCCUGGGAAGUCCCCUUAUUAGUGGGGCAGAACAGCUGGGACAGAAAUGGGGUCUGAGACUCAGAGUGCACACAUAUGGCAGGCAGAAGAGACCAGUGAAGAAGAUCACUGCUACCUCACUGUGCUCUCCUGCCCAAGAUGGUGCCUUUUGGUAUAUAUGGGGUCUUGGUGCUAAAAUUGAGGCUUUGAGAGGACAGAUCCUAGCAGAGAACUGGGGUUAGCUAUGUGAAAACAGUCUAAGAGGCUGGAGUGUGGUACAGGCUUCAACCAGUGCUGCCAUACAAGCAAAGCUUCUUUGCUAAAGUGUGGGAAAAGGAAGGGGAAGGGCCUUCCACAGCAGCCUUUCUUGGCACUGCCUCUACAGCCUCUGCGAAAGGGACAAUAGGUGCUCCAGUGGCUGGGGACAGAUCCAUCCAUAGAAGCUGUGGGCCUUGAGACAUGUGCACCUGGAGAGUGAGCUGGCAUCUGGGCUGUUUUCAUAGCUCCCAUGGUAAAUCCAGGUGUGUGACUACUACAGUUCUUGUACCUGACCAGUCAGUUUGAGCUGGUAUAUCUGCUUUGGUGGUAUUGUGAACACAGUACCUGAGGAAUACCAGGGUUGACUGCCUACAUUCCCACAGUGGAGGUGUUCAAUGGCAGUGCCAACAAUAGUGUACUUCAUGACCCCACAUAACAGGUUUUAGGUGACAGUAUAGAGUGCAUUCCCCAGAAUAAUGAGUGGAUUGCCUCCCAAUGGCAGCAACCUAGUUAAAUCUACAUAACACCACAGCUCAGAAACACAUCUGGGGGCUUCUACUCAAACAGCUAGGGAGCAGGCCCUGUCCCCUGAUAGGGUGGUGACCACCAGAGAGCAAGAGGCCCUGCUCAAAAACCAGUGUGGGCUUUCUGGUCACCACAACAGCAGCCACAUCCUCUAAUCAAGGGCAUAAUGGGCAGCACACAUAGAGGAAAGAAGCAGGUGUUCAAACUAAAACAGUUCCUGCACCAAAAAUAUCAAAUCCACACAGGUUACACAGGGAUGUUUCCAAAUACAAAAAGCCCUUCAAGGUCACAAUGAGUAACUGUUUCUCCUAAACUCAUAGAGUAAUAGUAAAACAAAGAAGUGGCAGGAUCACAUCCAAUUACAAGAUCAAGAGAAGUCCUGUGAAAGAACAAAAAAACAGACCAAAGUUCAAAAAGAAGAUAAUGAAAUUACUGAAGGAAUUAAGAAUAGCUAUUGAUAGAAAUGCAGAUUGCUGUAAAAAGGGACUAGAAAAUAUAAAUGGCGCCAUGAAAAAUUAGAAAACUAAUUCAUAAAGAAUGAAAGCUCAUCCGAAAGCAAGCAAUGAACAGCAGAGGAAUGCGUAAGUGAUCUGGAAGACAGAGUAAUAGAAAUCACCCAAUCAUGACAGCAGACAGAAAGCCAAAUGGAAGGGGUGUGUGUGUGUGUGUGUGUGUGUGUGUAAAGCAUGACAAUAAAAGGGAAGCCAAAUGGAAGGGGUGUGUGUGUGUGUGUGUGUGUGUGUGUGUGUGUAUGUGUGUAAAGCAUGACAAUAAAAGGGACCCAGAAUGAGAAAAAAGAAAAAAAGGGGGUCAAAAGAUUUAUUUCAAAAUUAUGGAAAACUUCCCAAAUCUAAAGAAGGAAAGAGGUAACCAGACACAGGAAGUACAGAGGGUUCAAAAUGAAAGGAACCCAAAUAGACCCACACCAGGACAUACUGUAAUUAAAAUGGUGAAGUUAAAGACAGGAUUCUAAAGGCAGCAAGAGAAAAACAGAAGUUAAUCUCAAGGCUACCAUAAAGCUAUCAGCUUUUUUUCUCUACAGAAACAUCAGACUACAAGGGAGUGGAAAGAUACAGUGAAAGUCCUGGAAGAUAAAAACUUCCAACUGAGGAUACACUACCCAUUUAGCCAGAAAGAUUAUCCUUUAGAAUAGAAGGAGAGAUAAAGAAUUUCUCAAAGUAAAGAAAUACAGCAAAACUAAACCUAUCCUAAAGGAAAUAUUCAAAGGUCUUCCCUAAAUAUAAAGGAAGCAGAAGUCCAAAGGAAAAAGAAAAUCAACGUGUGAGAGUAGAUCACUUAAAUAAGCCACUACACAAUUAAAAAAAAAAAAAAAAGUUCUGUGAAAGCAAUGAUAACAACAGCAAAAGGAUGAACAUAAAGAUGUAAAUGAGAACAUCAAAAUUUAUAAUAUUGAAGGGGAGAGUAUAAGAAUGUAGAAUUUUAUUUUCCUUCCCCCAGAAUGCAUUUGAGCCUACAUGACUACCACAAUAAGACAAGGAGUUUUAGGAAAGGUUUAAUGUUCUUGAAAAAGACAGUAACUACAGUAAAUCAGAAACAUACAACAGAUUUACAAAAAAUAAAGAUGUGUUGCUGUGGCUGUGGUGUAGGCUGGCAGCUACAGCUUUAAUUUGAGCCCUAGCCUGAGAAUUUUCAUAUGCCAUGGGAGUGGCCCUAAAAAGACAAAAAAUAAAAUAAAAUAAAAAAUAAAAUAAAGUCACAAACAAUACAAAAGAAAAUAAUCAAACCAUAAAAAGAAAAGCAAAGAAAAAAUAAAGAAGAAAUAUGAUAUCAAAAAUUUAAACAAGGAGUUCCCCUCUUUUAAAAUAAAGGGUUUGAAGUCAUUGGUUAUUCACUGGAUUACUUGUUUGCAGGUACUAUGCAGAUUUUAACCUAUCAUGAGUUUGUGUGCCAGUAAUGUUAAUGGUGACGCUUACUCCCAUAAAUUAGAUCAAAAAUAUAAACUGUAUGUCUAUUUGCUGUACCACAUAGAAGUUAACGGCUUACCACUGGUAAAAUUUUAGUUUUUUUUUUUGAGUUCAAGAUCAACAUUAAAUUUCUCCUGAAAGAGAAUGACCCUGGAGCUCCUGCUAUGGCCCAGAGGGUUAAUGAUUCAGCUGGUCUCUAUGGAGCUGCAGAUUCCAUGCCAGGCCCAGUGCAGUGGGUUAAGCAUCUGAUAUUGCUGCAGCAGCUAUGGCAAAGAUCACAGAUGAACCUGGAUUUAAUCCCUGACCCAGGAAUUCCAUAUGCCAUGAGUGCACCAAAACCAAAAAAACCCAAAAACCAAAAACAAUGACCUUAAAUCAUUAUUACAGAAUGGCUUUGUAAAUUAAGUUUUUGCUGCAGAUCUGAUUUUGUUUUCUUAAUGAAAUCAAUCUAUAAUCACAGUUAAUUUAGUACUGACAUUAAAAUCUAAUGUUGCAUGUUUGAUUUCAAUUGUUAGAACUUGCACAUCAAAUAAAACAAAUAUAGCUCAAAUAACGGAGAUGACCUAAAAAAGACCCAUAACUGUCUGCCUUUAAAUUGCUGUUUCUGGUGAAGAGGUAGAAUUUUUCACUAAUCACUUAGUGAGAUUUAUUGUUUUAGGGUAGCACCCAUGACAUACGGGUGGUUCUCAGGCUAGGGGUGAAAUCGGAGCUAUAGAUGCCAGGCUAUACCACAGCCAUAGCAAUGCAGGAUCAGAGCCGUGUCUGCAACCUACACCACAGCUCACGGAAACACCAGAUCCUUAACCCACUGAGUGAGGCCAGGGAUCAAACACACUACCUCAUAGUUCCUUGUCAGAUUCAUUUCUGAUGCACCACGAUGGGAAGUCCUUUGUGAGAUUAUUAUGGUCAGAUGCUCAAUUCUUCCAAAACAUCAUCAGAGUUUCCACUAAACAAUAAUUCUCAAAUGGUAAGGUACAGAUAUAAACUCUGAGGGAACAAAUACAGGAGAAAAUGCUGUAUUUAAAAGAUAUUCCUCACAAUAAAAAAUUUUACAUGACCCACUGAAAGUCAGGCCCUUUUUCUUUACUGUAAGGAAGAAAACGUAAGUUUAGGAAAUCAUUCAGGGAAAAGCACUAAUUUAAGAGAUUCAAAUCAGGCUGACAGAAUCUGAUUACUGAAAAAGACUGACAUUAGGUAUAAGAGUCUGUAUGAUUGGACCACUUGGACACAAGAAAAGAAAAAAAUUAAUGGUUUUGUGCUGAUCUUGCUUGAAAUAUUUACACAUUGACCUCCCUGAUUUCUUACAAAGAGUAAGAAAUUUUUUUUUCUUCUCUUUUUUGGCUGUUCCCACAGAAUAUGGAAGUUACUGGGCUGAGGAAGCUGAGACCUACAGCACAAGCUGCUGCAACAAUGCCAGAUCCUUAACCUACUGCGCUGGUCCAAGGCUUGAACCUACACCUCCACAGUUAUCUAAGCCACUGGAGAGUCAACAGGGGAUUCUUAAUCCACUGGGCCACAGUAGAACUUCUCCAUCUGUCAUAUUGGAAAAGGAAUAUUCUAAUAGGAAUAUAUCAAGUAGAAAGCUGAAUAAGUAAGUAACCUGUUUAAGAUCAAAUGUACCAGAUACAGAAUUUAAAGCCAACUGCAUGUGGAAAUAUACAGAUGAGUACUGGGCAACUAAAACUAUCUGGAAAAAAAAAAAAAAAA
rnacentral:lncRNA from 9 species